UCCCUGGCAGUCUAGUGGUUAAGACUCUGCACUCCCAGUACAGGGGGCCCGGGUUCGAUCCCUGAUCAGGGAA
rnacentral:tRNA from 1 species